ACCUCCUCCAUUUUCUGUAGUUUGUACCGUACCCCUACUAAGCGGCCGCGGCGGCCGGCUGCUGGCGAGCGAUUCCCCCGGCGUGCUUCCGCGCCGCCGUCAGCCAUGCCCGCUUGCGGCCGUCACAUUCGCUGCCGGCUAAGCGGGUUCCUCAUUUCCCCUCGUGUCUCGCCGAAACGCCCCCAAUCCGCUGCCGCUGGCCUGGCGAGGGACUCCGUCUGAAGACAUCUGCCACUGGCAUGAACCGAAUAUGUAUGGGGAAUAGGGGACAAAAUCACAGCAAUGUCAGGAUAAGAUCAAUCCUCACGGGUUCACAUCACAUUAUUCAACCGUUGCAGAAUCCACUAAUAGUAUUACAAUAUGAUCUAGUAACAUGAAACUGCUACGAUCGUUUGAAUACUACAGUCACUUUGCAGGAGCCAAGAACUGGGUGAUACAGGAUGGUGUCCUGUCCAGAGCAUGAUAACUGCAUACCUGGUGCACCACAAGGUGGAGGUUGGGUUGCAAGCCUGAAUGGAAACCGGACCUCUGGUCCAUGUUUGCUGCACCGACUUGGUGAACAAUUCUUGAAGAAUUCUUCAUCAUCCCAUGCUGUGGCAACAUAUGUUCCAUUGGCGAGAAGAGAGAUGAGCAGCACUAUGAAGAGAAGUCCUGGCAUACUGUUGUAAUGGAAUGGAGAUGAAGAAGGCAAAGAAAGAGAAGCUCAUGAAUGUAACAAGGAGCACCUGCAGUGGAAUUAAGUGAAAAAUUAUAUUGUGCUUGUGUGGACAAGGAGUAAUUCCAGUUGCCAAUGAACUUCCUGUCGUGCUGUGUUUCAGAAAAAUGAAGCAUUGUCAUUCAGAGUGCUUGCUUGCUAUCAGUGUUGAUUAGUCAAAUAGAGUAAUAACGGAUGGCUUCAUUUUCCACAACUGGCACAUCACCUUAACUCGACACAAUUGGAUUUGGAACGAAGUACCGGCUUUCUUCUUCUGUCAAAUCCAGAAGACCAACUGCAUUUCUUCUUCUUUUGAGUCAGUCAAUGCUAUCACAACCAUAUAUUUGUAUACAGCUCGCAGGGAGUUAUCUUUGGCAGUUAAUCUUCUUAACCAGUUAUUAUGUCAUAUACAUGGAUAUGUGGUUCUCUGAACCAGCCAACCAUGGCGAGAUCUAUUGCGUUCCACUUCC